UGAGUUUCCCAUUUUUUUUUCCUUUCAUCUUUCUCUAUCAUCUCAUCUAUCUGUUUAGUCCUAACAUAACAAAUACGAGAGAGAGACACACACAGAGAGAGACGGAGGGACGACGACGGAGCAACACGAUGGAGAGAACUCAAACUGAGAGAGAUGGUGGAGGGACGCGACGGCGAAGGAUAAAGGAUGGUGGAGGGACACGACGCGACUCGACGGCAAGGCGAGAUUGCGGCCAUGACGAGGUCAUUUCAGAUUUUUCAUGCUGUUAUGUAUAUAGUUUGGUUGAUGCAAUGCAACAAUGAUAUGGGUGGAUAAUGGUGAUGAUAUGAGCUUCAGAAUGGGAGCUAACAAAUGGCAAUACCUGAUAAUACUGCACGGGGAUUAAAAUUUUUUUUGUUCAUUUUUUUUCUUCUUAUUUAUUUGGAGAGAAUGACACUUGUUUCUGAUUUUUUUCUAGAAAUGUUAUUGGAAUAAAAAAUCAAUUAAUAUCAAAUUUAUGUUGUGACCAAAUUUUGUGUUUGUUACUGCCUCUUGUUUUUUCCCCUUAUCAAUGGCAACCAGGAUCAUGUAUUGAAUUGGAUAAAUUGUCCUUUAUUUGCUUGGCAUACUUCACUUCUUCAAUCUA